AGAGUUUGAUCCUGGCUCAGGACGAACGCUGGCGGUGUGCUUCACACAUGCAAGUCGAGCGAAUGAAGUAGGUAGCUUGCUACUUAUGGAUUUAGCGGCGGACGGGUGAGUAAUAUAUAGGAAUCUGCCUUAGAGCGGGGAACAACAGACCGAAAGGUUUGCUAAUGCCCCAUAGGUAUGCAGUCUUCGGAUUGUAUAUUAAAGGAGUAAUCCACUCUAAGAUGAGCCUGUAUCCGAUUAGCUAGUUGGCGGGGUAACGGCCCACCAAGGCUACGAUCGGUAGUUGGUCUGAGAGGAUGAUCAGCCACAAUGGGACUGAGACACGGCCCAUACUCCUACGGGAGGCAGCAGUGGGGAAUUUUACACAAUGGGGGAAACCCUGAUGUAGCGACACCGCGUGAACGAAGAAGCCUUUUGGGGUGUAAAGUUCUGUCGGCUGGAACGAAAAAAAUGACGGUACCAGCAAAGGAAGCAUCGGCUAACUACGUGCCAGCAGCCGCGGUAAGACGUAGGAUGCAAGCGUUGUCCGGAUUUAUUGGGCGUAAAGAGUUCGUAGGCGGUUAUUUAAGUCUGAUGUUAAAUACUGUGGCCCAACCACAGAACUGCAUUGGAUACUGGAUGACUUGAGUGCGGUAGAGGCAAGUGGAAUUCCCAGUGUAGCGGUGAAAUGCGUAGA
rnacentral:rRNA from 1 species